rnacentral:lncRNA from 1 species
AGCAAUGUAUCGACUUUUGCAACAACUGAGAAAGGGAUCAAAGCCAAAAAAGAGUAGAAUUGAGAAUAUAUCAACUUUGUCCAAAACAAUUGGAGAGUCGGCAACAAACAUUGAUAAUGAGAUUGAAAAAGUGAUUGAUAGGCUUAGUUGAGCAUUAGAAGAUGUUAAAACUGUCGAAAUAAUCAAAUAGUGUAGUGACAAAGUUACUGAGUCUCAGUAUAUCUGAAAGGCAUAAUAGGGCUACUCAAAAAUUAGUUAUAGUCGUGGGCUAACCCACGUCUUCUUCAUAAUUUCGAUGAACAGAUAGAAGCAUUUGUGAAGGCAUUGUUUAAUGGAGGUAUUUGAAUUCAUCUAUUAGGUAUAGGAAUAUCAUUUGUUUCAACACCAUUUUUAAACAAUCAAUUCAGUUGUAUGAUCUAUCCAAAACUCUGCCUUCGAAUCUGCUAAAAAAAAAAAAAAAAAACAAAAAUCUACAAUCGAGUGCAUAUUUAUUUAUAUAAUUCAUUUUGAUUAGAGUUAAACAAUUUUUUGCUCUUAUUCUUUUUGUUGAAAUGAACUUCAUCAAGAUAUUUUACUAACCAAAAUCCUAUCGUGAUUUAAUGUUAAUUCUAUCAUGAGCUUUGCAUGAUUGGUCGACUGCAGUACCUCUCCGACGACGACACAGCUUGAAAACUCCCUUUCUUUCUCCUCUUCUGGCGGACACAACAGAGAGACGCUGCGAUUCCUCUAUCGCCAGCGUGGUCCUGUCGUUUUCCGACGAGACUAGCUGAAGGCCAGUCGAUUUGGUCCUUUCCCUACCGCUUACAGCUUUGUCGGCCAUCGUAUCCAUAAAUUCCAGCCAAGCUAUUACUGGCAAUGCUGUAUUUUGGGAUAUUGGAACUGUUUCUGGUUAUUUUUCCAAAAAAUUAGUGGCUAGCUAAUCUCAUUUUGAAUGUUUUCUAAUAUAUUUAAUAAAUAUUGAUUAUGAUUAGAAGGUUUUAAUAAAAUAAAGCAACUUUUAGUUA